rnacentral:rRNA from 1 species
UGGGGAAUUUUGGACAAUGGGCGAAAGCCUGAUCCAGCAAUGCCGCGUGUGUGAAGAAGGCCUUCGGGUUGUAAAGCACUUUUGUCCGGAAAGAAAUCCUUGGCUCUAAUACAGUCGGGGGAUGACGGUACCGGAAGAAUAAGCACCGGCUAACUACGUGCCAGCAGCCGCGGUAAUACGUAGGGUGCAAGCGUUAAUCGGAAUUACUGGGCGUAAAGCGUGCGCAGGCGGUUUGCUAAGACCGAUGUGAAAUCCCCGGGCUCAACCUGGGAACUGCAUUGGUGACUGGCAGGCUAGAGUAUGGCAGAGGGGGGUAGAAUUCCACGUGUAGCAGUGAAAUGCGUAGGAGAUGUGGAGGAAUACCGAUGGCGAAGGCAGCCCCCUGGGCCAAUACUGACGCUCAUGCACGAAAGCGUGGGGAGCAAACAGGAUUAGAUACCCUGGUAGUCCACGCCCUAAACGAUGUCAACUAGUUGUUGGGGAUUCAUUUCCUUAGUAACGUAGCUAACGC